rnacentral:lncRNA from 1 species
GUCAAGACUGAGAAUGCCACUUCACUUUGCAUUCGAACCUAUAACAACAUUUAUUUAUUUAGAGUGUCAAGUUUCAAUGUAGUGAUAAGCAUUUCUUCUAGAUAAAAUUUAAAUUUAUAAUUAGUAUGUAAUGUUGGCGAAGUGAAGUUGUCAAUUUUUCAAUGAAAUGAAAAUACCUGAUUCAGCUCUGCUGUUUUCGUACAUUGGUUGCAGCUAUACUUUGGAGCCAUACCCAUCCCUUCAGGAAAGAAGCAGCUAAGUUACCAUCUUAGAAGACUUAAAGUCGUACUAUUACAGCUCUUAUUUGCACUGCCGGAGGUUGUGCUAUUCGAAGGCAGUACGUACAGUCUGGAUGUGGUUUGGCAUAAUGGAGCUCCUGGGAUUCUAUCUAUGAGAAAGGUUCAAAAAUUAAAUAGCUAAUUCAUUUUGUCGGUCGGCAGAUUAUGAGAGCACUUUCUCGUCGUACCACCGUUAUGAUGAUCAAAAUUUUAACUUUGGAUGCCCUGGAGAGCCUUAGAGCUCCCAAACAGUGUCAAAAUUAAUACAGCUAAAAUUCAGUUCAACACUGAAACAGGAAUAAUUAUAUUUUACCUCUGACGCAGACACUUUUGCAUUCAAAUCUGAUACUGUUGGCAAGUCAACAGAUGCUGGUGAGCACGAGGAACUGCUGCAGUAUUUUUUCAGAGCUAUAGUAUAUUCACUGUCAUCCUGCUCCGUAGCAAUCGGUUUACUUUGAAAUUUUAAAUUUGGGGGGUGAGCUAUAGAUGUUUUUGGCUUGUUCUCACUUUCAAAAUGCAAUGCUGUUCGACUCCUUUUGGCUGGCGGUGAGCUACUUCUCGAAUAAUUGAUUGCGUCAUCUCCAUCCGCAUUUGACCAGCAACCUUGCUGCGCCUUCGGCUUCUAAUUCGAUUAUCACAGCAGAGUCAAGAGAUACAGUUUUAUUCAUUAGAUAAUUAUCGAGAUUGGUAUGACUAUGUUCAACUUGAAUAUCCUUCAACAUGGAGGAAGUAUCGUCA